rnacentral:rRNA from 1 species
GAUGAACGCUGGCGGCGUGCCUAAUACAUGCAAGUCGAGCGAACGGACGAGAAGCUUGCUUUUCUGAUGUUAGCGGCGGACGGGUGAGUAACACGUGGAUAACCUACCUAUAAGACUGGGAUAACUUCGGGAAACCGGAGCUAAUACCGGAUAAUAUUUUGAACCGCAUGGUUCAAAAGUGAAAGACGGUCUUGCUGUCACUUAUAGAUGGAUCCGCGCUGCAUUAGCUAGUUGGUAAGGUAACGGCUUACCAAGGCAACGAUGCAUAGCCGACCUGAGAGAGUGAUCGGCCACACUGGAACUGAGACACGGUCCAGACUACUACAGGAGGCAGCAGUAGGGAAUCUUCCGCAAUGGGCGGAAGCCUGACGGAGCAACGCCGCAUGAGUGAUGAAGGUCUUCGGAUCGUAAAACUCUGUUAUUAGGGAAGAACAUAUGUGUAAGUAACUGUGCACAUCUUGACGGUACCUAAUCAGAAAGCCACGGCUAACUACGUG